AACGAACGCUGGCGGCGUGCCUAACACAUGCAAGUCGUACGAGAACCCCUAGCUUCGGUUAGGGUAGUAAAGUGGCGCACGGGUGAGUAACACGUGAGUAAUCUGCCCUUUUGACUGGGAUAACGUCGGGAAACUGGCGCUAAUACCGGAUAAUGUCCUGAGUCGCUAGGCUCAAGACCAAAGCAGGCCUCUACUUGUAAGCCUGCACAGAAGGAUGAGCUCGCGCCCCAUUAGCUAGUUGGUAGGGUAAUGGCCUACCAAGGCGACGAUGGGUAGCCGGCCUGAGAGGGUGACCGGCCACACUGGAACUGAAACACGGUCCAGACUCCUACGGGAGGCAGCAGUGAGGAAUUUUGCGCAAUGGGCGAAAGCCUGACGCAGCGACGCCGCGUGGGCGAUGAAGCUUCUUGGAGUGUAAAGCCCUGUCAGGUGGGACGAAUUCGGGGUGCAAUAAUAAGGCAUCCCGCUGACGGUACCACCGGAGGAAGCCCCGGCUAACUCCGUGCCAGCAGCCGCGGUAAUACGGAGGGGGCAAGCGUUGUUCGGAAUCACUGGGUGUAAAGGGUGCGUAGGCGGUCUGUUAAGUCUGAUGUGAAAUCCCUCGGCUCAACUGAGGAACUGCAUUGGAAACUGGCGGGCUGGAGUACUGAAGAGGAGAGCGGAAUUCCUGGUGUAGCGGUGAAAUGCGUAGAUACCAGGAGGAACACCGGUGGCGAAGGCGGCUCUCUGGUCAGAUACUGACGCUGAGGCACGAAAGCGUGGGGAGCAAACGGGAUUAGAUACCCCGGUAGUCCACGCUGUAAACGAUGGGUGCUAGAUGUUGGGGGUAUCGACCCCUCCAGUGUCGUAGCUAACGCAUUAAGCACCCCACCUGGGGAGUACGUUCGCAAGAAUGAAACUCAAAGGAAUUGACGGGGGCCCGCACAAGCGGUGGAGCAUGUGGUUUAAUUCGACGCAACGCGAAGAACCUUACCUAGGUUUGAAUUUCACAGGACAGCUCCUGAAAGGGAGUCUCCCGCAAGGGUCUGUGGAGAGGUGCUGCAUGGCUGUCGUCAGCUCGUGUCGUGAGAUGUUGGGUUAAGUCCCGUAACGAGCGCAACCCUUACCCUUAGUUGCCAGCGAGUCAAGUCGGGAACUCUAAGGGAACCGCCGGUGAUAAACCGGAGGAAGGUGGGGAUGACGUCAAGUCCUCAUGGCCUUUAUGCCUAGGGCUACACACGUGCUACAAUGGACGGUACAAAGGGCUGCAAAUCCGCAAGGUGGAGCUAAUCCCAAAAAGCCGUUCUCAGUUCGGAUUGGGGGCUGCAACUCGCCCCUAUGAAGGUGGAAUCGCUAGUAAUCGCAGAUCAGCACGCUGCGGUGAAUACGUUCCCGGGCCUUGUACACACCGCCCGUCACACCACGAAAGUUGAUUGUACUAGAAACCGCCGGGCUAACCGCAAGGAAGUAAGCGUCUAAGGUAUGAUCAGCGAUUGGGGUG
rnacentral:rRNA from 1 species